rnacentral:rRNA from 1 species
UACGUAGGGGGCAAGCGUUGUCCGGAUUCAUUGGGCGUAAAGAGCGUGUAGGCGGCCAGGUAGGUCGGUUGUGAAAACUGGAGGCUCAACCUUCAGAGGUCGACCGAAACCAUCUGGCUAGAGUCCGGGAGAGGAGAGUGGAAUUCCUGGUGUAGCGGUGGAAUGCGCAGAUAUCAGGAGGAACACCGAUGGCGAAGGCAGGUCUCUGGGCCAUUACUGACACUGAGAAGCGAAAGCAUGGGGAGCGAACAGG